rnacentral:rRNA from 1 species
GAAUGAGCCAGCGAGUCGCUGGCGCGGGGCGAGGUUAACCGAAAGGGAGCCGGAGCGAAAGCGAGCCUUAACAGGGCGACUUGAGUCCCGCGCCGCGGACGCGAAGCCGGGUGAGCUAUCCGUGGGCAGGCUGAAGCGGGGGUAAGACCCCGUGGAGGGCCGAACGCACGUCGGUUGAAAACGGCGGCGAUGACCUGCGGAUAGGGGUGAAAGGCCAAUCAAACCCGGAGAUAUCUCGUUCUCCCCGAAAUAGCUUUAGGGCUAGCCUCGAUCGCUUACCGACGGUGGUAGAGCACUGGAUGGACGAGGGGGCUUCGCCGCCUACCGAAUCCAACCGAACUCCGAAUGCCGGCGGCCCAGAGCGCGGCAGUCAGAGCAUGUGGGCUAAGCUGUGUGCUCGAGAGGGAAACAGCCCGGACCGCCCGCUAAGGUCCCCAAGUUCCAGCCGAGUGGCAAAGGAUGUGCGUCCGCCCAGACAACCAGGAUGUUGGCUUAGAAGCAGCCAUCCAUUCAAAGAGUGCGUAACAGCUCACUGGUCGAGUGGACAUGCGCCGACAAUACACGGGGCUAAGCUGGACACCGAAGCGGCGGGAUUUUAAUUCAUUAGAAUCGGUAGGGGAGCUUCCCAUGGGCGGAGAAGCCGGAGGGCGACCGACGGUGGAGCGCAUGGGAGUGAGAAUGCUGGCAUGAGUAGCGAGAGACGAGAGAGUAACUCGUCCGCCGUGAACCCGAGGUUUCCUGGGCAAGGCUAAUCCUCCCAGGGUCAGUCGGGGGCUAAGGCGAGGCCGGUAGGCGUAGCCGACGCGCAGCAGGCAGACAUUCCUGCACCGCGCACGCGGCGCUACGACCGACGGGGCGACGGAUGGGGGUGGCUCGGCGGGGUUCUGGACGUCCCCGUGAUGGAGCGCGGCCCGCGGACCAGGGAAAUCCGGUCCGCAGGAGGGCGAGGCUCCGGACGAAGCGAUUGAGCGAAGCGAGUGAGCCCGAGGUCCCUAGAAAAACCCCUAGGCAGGCGCGUGCGCGCCCGUACCGCAAACCGACACAGGUGGGUGGGUAGAACAUACCGAGGCGAUCGGGUCAACCAUGGUCAAGGAACUCGGCACAAUGGCCCCGUAACUUCGGGAGAAGGGGUGCCCGCGCGUACGUGAACCGGCUUGCCCGGGGAGCGGAGGCGGGCCGCAGUGGAGAGGCCCAAGCGACUGUUUACCAAAAACACAGGACUCUGCAGAAGCCGCAAGGCGACGUAUAGGGUCUGACGCCUGCCCGGUGCCGGAAGGUCACGCGGAGGAGUUAGCGCAUCGCGCGAAGCCCCGAAGCCAAGCCCCGGUAAACGGCGGCCGUAACUAUAACGGUCCUAAGGUAGCGAAAUUCCUUGUCGGGUAAGUUCCGACCUGCACGAAAGGCGCAACGACUUGGGCGCUGUCUCGACCAUGGACCCGGUGAAAUUGCACUGGUCGUGAAGAUGCGACUUACCCGCGGAAGGACGGAAAGACCCCGUGAACCUUCACUGCAGCUUGGCAUUGGCCGCUGGUCCCGCGUGUAGAGGAUAGGCAGGAGGCUAAGAUCCGGAGGCGCCAGCCCCCGGGGAGCCGCCCUUGGAAUACUGCCCUCGCGCGACCGGCGUCCUAACCCGAGGCCGUCAACCGGCUCGGGGACCGUGCCAGGCGGGCAGUUUGACUGGGGCGGUCGCCUCCUAAAGGGUAACGGAGGCGCGCGAAGGUCCGCUCGGGACGGUCGGCAACCGUCCUUUUGAAUGCAAGAGUACAAGCGGGCUUGACUGCGAGGCCCACAAGCCGAGCAGGUGCGAAAGCAGGCUCUAGUGAUCCGGCGGCCCCGAGUGGGUGGGCCGUCGCUCAACGGAUAAAAGGUACUCCGGGGAUAACAGGCUGAUCUUGCCCAAGAGUCCACAUCGACGGCAAGGUUUGGCACCUCGAUGUCGGCUCAUCGCAUCCUGGGGCUGGAGCAGGUCCCAAGGGUACGGCUGUUCGCCGUUUAAAGCGGUACGCGAGCUGGGUUCAGAACGUCGUGAGACAGUUCGGUCCCUAU